rnacentral:rRNA from 1 species
GACAGAGGUGCCGAGCGUUAGGCGGAAUCACUGGGCUUAAAGCGUGUGUAGGCGGGCGGGCAAGUACCUUGUGAAAUCCCACGGCUCAACCGUGGAACGGCUGGGUAUACUGCCUGUCUUGAGCCAACUAGGGGCGAGCGGAACAGACGGUGGAGCGGUGAAAUGCGUAGAUAUCGUCUGGAACGCCAAAGGUGAAAACAGCUCGCUGGGGUUGUGCUGACGCUGAGACGCGAAAGCCAGGGGAGCGAACGGG